AGUAACAUCCGGAAACGGGUAGCUAAUACCGCAUAGUUUUCUUGAUCGCAUGAUUGAGAAAGGAAAGACGGCCUUUGUGCUGUCGCCUAUGGAUGGACCCGCGGCGUAUUAGUUAGUUGGUGAGGUAACGGCUCACCAAGACGAUGAUACGUAGCCGACCUGAGAGGGUGAUCGGCCACAUUGGGACUGAGACACGGCCCAAACUCCUACGGGAGGCAGCAGUAGGGAAUCUUCCGCAAUGGACGAAAGUCUGACGGAGCAACGCCGCGUGAGUGAAGAAAAGGUUUUCGGAUCGUAAAACUCUGUUGUCAGAGAAGAACAAGUUGGAGAGUAACUGCUCCAGCCUUGACGGUAUCUGACCAGAAAGCCACGGCUAACUACGUGCCAGCAGCCGC
rnacentral:rRNA from 1 species